GCACCAGACUCCUACGGGAGGCAGCAGUGGGGAAUAUUGCACAAUGGGGGAAACCCUGAUGCAGCGACGCCGCGUGAGCGAUGAAGUAUUUCGGUAUGUAAAGCUCUAUCAGCAGGGAAGAAGAUGACGGUACCUGACUAAGAAGCCCCGGCUAACUACGUGCCGGCAGCCGCGGUAAUACGUAGGGGGCAAGCGUUAUCCGGAUUUACUGGGUGUAAAGGGAGCGUAGACGGCGAUGCAAGCCAGAUGUGAAAGCCCGGGGCUCAACCCCGGGACUGCAUUUGGAACUGUGUGGCUGGAGUGCAGGAGAGGUAAGCGGAAUUCCUAGUGUAGCGGUGAAAUGCGUAGAUAUUAGGAGGAACACCAGUGGCGAAGGCGGCUUACUGGACUGUAACUGACGUUGAGGCUCGAAAGCGUGGGGAGCAAACAGGAUUAGAUACCCGCGUA
rnacentral:rRNA from 1 species